rnacentral:tRNA from 1 species
GGAGGCCUUAGCUUAAUUAAAGUGAUUGAGUUGCAAUCAGUAGAUGUAGUUUAGAGUAUUACAGGUCUU